UUUUUUAAAAUUAAUUUUUGUAAUAUUUUUAUUAAAAUAUACUUCUUAUUUUUUUAGUAUUUUAUAUAAAUAAUUAUUUAUUUGAUUUUCUGUUAAGAAUUUAUUUACAAUAUUUUUGAAAAAUUUUUAGUACCUUUUGUAUCAGGGUAAGUUAACCUAUUUAAUUAUAUUUAUUUUCCCGAAAAAAAAAGAUCAAUUUAUAUUAUUAAGAUUACUUGUUUCAUAAAGUUUCUGUAUAAAUUUAUAGUAAUUAUAUGUUAUUCGUUUUUUUCAUAUCUGGUUGUUAAGGAUUUAAUUCAAUUAAUAAUUUAUGUAAAAAAUAUUUAUAUUAAAUAAUAUUUAAAUUUUAUUUUAUUAGGGAUAAUCUUAAUAAAUUUUAUUACAAUUACAAAUAUAUCUUUGAGUUUUUUUUCUUUAAAAUUUUGAAUUAAGUUUAUAAUAAAUUGACUUGUAAAUUAUAUAAUUUUGUAUGAUUUAAUUUUAUACUUAACUUUUUUAAUAAAUAAAUAUUUAUUUUAAUAAUGAUUUAAUUAGUAUAAUAUAUUUAAUUAAAAUUAAAUGAACUCGACAAAAGUUAUUUCCAACUGUUUAUCAAAAACAUUUCUUUUUGAUUUUUAUAAAAAGUAUCUUCUGCCCUAUGGUAUUCUAAAUGGCUGCAGUAUCUUGACUGUGCAAAGGUAGCAUAGUAAUUAGUUUCUUAAUUAGAAGCUUGUAUGAAUGGAUGUAUGAGAUUUAAAUUUUAUUAAAAUUAAUAUUAAAAUUUUAAUUUUGAGUAAAAAUGCUUAAAUAAUUUUUAGGGACGAUAAGACCCUAUAGAACUUUAUAUAAUUAAUAAAUAUUAAUUUUUUAAUAAUUUUUGUUUAAUAUUUUUGUUUAUAAUUAGCUGGGGUGGCAAUUAAAUUUAAACUUUAGUUUUUUAUAUCACUUUUAGGUGUUUUUUAGAUCCCUCCUAAGGAAAAAAGAUUAAGUUACCUUAGGGAUAACAGCGUAAUUUUGAUGGGGAGUUCAUAUCUAUAUCAAUUUUUGCGACCUCGAUGUUGAAUUAAGGCAAAAUUAAGACGUAGAAUUCUUAAAUUUAAGUCUGUUCGACUUUUAAUUCCUUACAUGAUUUGAGUUCAAACCGGCGUGAGCCAGGUUGGUUUCUAUCUUAAAACUUUUAAUCUUAUUUAGUACGAAAGGACCAAUAAGUUAUACAAAUUUGUGUUUUAAUUAAUUUAAUA
rnacentral:rRNA from 1 species